GGAUGUUCAGGGUUAUUUACUUUAGAUCAAGAAUUUGUUGGCUUUCUUUUUGUUCUCAAGUUAAAUGAGGAUACUUGGUUGAAAUGGAAGAAAAAUGACUUCCACAUCCCCCUCUCAAGUUCAGGCAGCUUGCCUGCUCAACCCGGACAGGGACAAUCUGAAGGCGCACUAGUAUCUGAAAAGACUGUGGAAGCAAAUCAAGAAGUUGCUCAAACUGCAUCUUCUAAGGGGAUAAUUAAUGACAUAAGGAACUUAGUAAAUGGCAUUUCCUCUCGUCGGCGGACAAAAAAAAAA
rnacentral:misc_RNA from 1 species